UACGUAGGGUGCGAGCGUUAAUCGGAAUUACUGGGCGUAAAGCGUGCGCAGGCGGUUUUGUAAGCCAGAUGUGAAAUCCCCGGGCUCAACCUGGGAAUGGCAUUUGGGACUGCAAGGCUGGAGUGCGGCAGAGGAGACUGGAAUUCCUGGUGUAGCAGUGAAAUGCGUAGAUAUCAGGAGGAAUACCGAUGGCGAAGGCAGGUCUCUGGGCUGACACUGACGCUCAUGCACGAAAGCGUGGGGAGCAAACAGG
rnacentral:rRNA from 1 species